rnacentral:rRNA from 1 species
UACGUAGGGGGCUAGCGUUGUCCGGAUUUAUUGGGCGUAAAGAGCGUGUAGGCGGCCAGAUAGGUCUGCUGUGAAAACUCGAGGCUCAACCUCGAGAUGUCGGCGGAAACCAUUUGGCUAGAGUCCGGAAGAGGAAAGUGGAAUUCCUGGUGUAGUGGUGAAAUGCGCAGAUAUCAGGAAGGACACCCGUGGCGAAGGCGGCUUUCUGGGACGGUACUGACGCUGAGACGCGAAAGCGUGGGGAGCGAACAGG